UCUAAUCCCGGCUCCGCCACAAGUCUGCUGUGUGACCUUGGGGCUCUGGGAAGAUGAAGGAGCUGCACGAACAAUGAAGAGCUGCACGAACAAUGAACGGGCCUUGUUGUUCAAACUCAAGUGCCAUCGAGCACUUGGAUUUCCGUGGUCGUGAUGGCUGGGAGUCCUGACAGGCUCAGGAGGCUCUCACAGAUCCCGGCGGGGCAGACACAUCCCUCUGUGUUUCGGUGCUCUGGCCAACUCCUCCAGCUAAGGUUGAGCCAAAAUAAAGGGCUUUUCCGCCGGGAGAACCAUCCAA